rnacentral:rRNA from 1 species
CCUACGGGUGGCAGCAGUAGGGAAUCUUCCACAAUGGGCGAAAGCCUGAUGGAGCAACGCCGCGUGGGUGAAGAAGGUCUUCGGAUCGUAAAACCCUGUUGUUAGAGAAGAAAGUGCGUGAGAGUAACUGUUCACGUUUCGACGGUACCUAACCAGAAAGCCCCGGCUAACUACGUGCCAGCAGCCGCGGUAAUACGUAGGUGGCAAGCGUUAUCCGGAUUUAUUGGGCGUAAAGGGAACGCAGGCGGUCUUUUAAGUCGGGUGUGAAAGCCUUCGGCUUAACCGGGGUAGUGCAUUGGAAACUGGGAGAAUUGAGUGCGGAAGAGGAGAGUGGAACUCCAGGUGUAGCGGUGAAAUGCGUAGAUAUCUGGAAGAACACCAGUGGCGAAAGCGGCUCUCUGGGCUGUAACUGACGCUGAGGUUCGAAAGCGUGGGUAGCAAACAGGAUUAGAUACCCUAGUAGUC